UGAACGCUGGCGGUAUGCCUAACACAUGCAAGUCGUACGAGAGUUUUUAACUCAAGUGGCGGACGGGUGAGUAACACGUGAGAAUCUGCCUUUAGGAGGGGGACAACAACUGGAAACGGUUGCUAAUACCCCAUAUGCUUUCGAGUGAAAUGGAUUUAUAUUUAUCCGCCUAGAGAGAAGCUCGCGGCUGAUUAGCUUGUUGGUAAGGUAAGAGCUUACCAAGGCGACGAUCAGUAUCUGGUUUGAGAGGACGAUCAGACACACUGGAACUGAGACACGGUCCAGACUCCUACGGGAGGCAGCAGUGGGGAAUUUUCCGCAAUGGGCGAAAGCCUGACGGAGCAAUACCGCGUGAGGGAAGACGGCCUAUGGGUUGUAAACCUCUUUUCUCAGGGAGGAAUUCAAUGACGUGUACCUGAGGAAUAAGCAUCGGCUAACUCC
rnacentral:rRNA from 1 species